UUCUUGUAAAUCUUAUGCAUAUUCAUUAUUGAGAGCAUUCUUGACAGCAUAGGUUAUAUCUAAAUCCACAUCAAGGAAGAGUGUUUCUUCUAAAUGCGUCGACGAUCUGCCUUCCGCUAAACGAUGUAUUCUUCGGUUAGUUUUGGUGCAGAGAUCUACGUCUAUAGUGUUGUUUGAGUAUAGUAUGAUGUACUCAAUGGGGGAUUGAUCUUUAUUAGUGAGAUGCCAAACCAGCUCCUGACUUUCUGCAAGAGCCAAGGCAAGUUCUCUCCAUAGCGUGUAAUGUCAUUUGCUAAUUUACAUGACCUUUGUGUCCUAAAAGCGAAUUCCGUCAGAAAAUCUCUUAUCAUAUGGCUCAAACUCUGCAUGAAUCAACUGAUCUCCAGGAUUGUAUUGAUGUUGUAAUGAAAAACAAAUGUUAAAUGUCCAGCAGACUUAACCAAAGGACGACACCUCGACUUCACAACAAAGCAUAUCCAAAUGGAAGGAAAAUUAAAAUGGGAAAAAGUUUGACAUUUUUUUCAAUCUAUUCUGAAAAUGAAUUGUAACCGUUGACAGAAAAAACCAAGAGCAGCAUAGCCAAAUGGAAAAGCUUCAAUGCCAAAACUUAUAUUUAACAAUUACCACAGCAUAUCCAUGCGUUUGUCUUGGAGACAAAGGUAAUCAAUUGUAUGGUUACCACGGACAAUGACAAAGUGGAUAGAAAGAAUUAAAAAUAAAAUAAAAUAAAAGACAAGACAAGACCUGGCUGUUCUCUGUAAAAAUUCAAUUGAACUUGAAUGUGUGGAAAUCAUAACAGAAGGCUAAAAUCACUAGACAAAUGUCAAAUGCGCAUUGAAAUAGAGCAACUUACCACGGAUAUCAUGAUUCAUGAACUCCGUCCGCUGUCCUCGGCCAUCAUUCCUUUCAGACUCUUAGCUAACCAGAUAGCUGUCUCCCUUGGAGAGACUUUAUCUUUCCCGAAAGGUUUUAAAACAACCGCAAGCUCUUCUAACCUGCUUUGCUGAAGCAAAUCAGCAGACAAUUCUAGAAGUCCUUCAAGUGCCUCUGCCCUCUGCCUGAAAGAUUUAACAUCCAAAGUUUCCCUUGCUGCUGCUUCCUCUUCAGUGACAGGGGAGUUGGAUUUUGGUAGCUCCGAUAAAUCAAAUUGUGGAACCAGAG
rnacentral:lncRNA from 1 species